GGAAUAUUGGACAAUGGGCGCAAGCCUGAUCCAGCCAUGCCGCGUGUGUGAAGAAGGCCUUCGGGUUGUAAAGCACUUUCAGCGGGGAGGAAGGGUGUUGCGUUAAUAGCACAGCAUUUUGACGUUACCCGCAGAAGAAGCACGGGCUAACUCCGUGCCAGCAGCCGCGGUAAUACGGAGGGUGCAGGCGUUAAUCGGAAUUACUGGGGGUAAAGCGCACGUAGGCGGUAUGUUAAGUUGGAUGUGAAAGCCCCGGGCUCAACCUGGGAAUUGCAUUCAAAGCUGGCAUGCUAGAGUAUGUGAGAGGGGGGUAGAAUUCCAGGUGUAGCGGUGAAAUGCGUAGAGAUUUGCAGGAAUACCAGUGGCGAAGGCGGCCCCCUGGCACAAUACUGACGCUCAGGUGCGAAAGCGUGGGGAGCAAA
rnacentral:rRNA from 1 species